rnacentral:rRNA from 1 species
UGGGGAAUAUUGCGCAAUGGACGCAAGUCUGACGCAGCAACGCCGCGUGAGUGAGGAAGGCCUUCGGGUUGUAAAGCUCUGUUAAAGUGGAAAAAUGGGCAUUGAACUAAUAGAUCAGUGUCUUGAUGGUACAUUUAGAGGAAGCACCGGCCAACUUCGUGCCAGCAGCCGCGGUAAUACGAAGGGUGCAAGCGUUGUUCGGAUUUAUUGGGCGUAAAGCGCGCGCAGGCGGAUAGAUAAGUCAGAUGUGAAAUCUCGGGGCUCAACUUCGAAACUGCGUCUGAAACUGUUUAUCUAGAAUAUUGGAGAGGAAGGCGGAAUAUCGCAUGUAGGGGUAAUAUCCGUAGAGAUGCGAUGGAACACCGGAGGCGAAGGCGGCCUUCUGGCCGAUUAUUGACGCUGAGGCGCGAAAGCGUGGGGAGCAAACAGG